UCAGUUCUGUUACCUUCCUUCCUCGUCUCUAUUAGUUUCUUUACAUGGUAUCAGAGCAAUUUCAAAGAAAAUUGAGACUGAAAAGAUGAUUGUCCAAUAUGUUUAAUGUUCAAACCUGUUCCAUUGCCCAUCAUGAUCUUAUCUUGCCCAACAAAUUCAGUUUUAUUCAUCAGAUUAUGAAUGUCUGGUAUGAUUUGUAGCUCCAGAAUCUGGGUACCAGCUAGAGUCAUAGGUAAAUUCAAGAGUAGUAGCAACCAUGGCAGUCAUUCGUGAUGAAUCUUGAGUAGAAGGAAACCCAUUCUAAAAUGAAGAUGGAAACAAGCAAAUUUUUGGUAAUAGAAGGAACAUGAAGAAGAUAAUUUAAAGAGAGCAUAUGACACAUGUACAUCUUGGAAACAAGCAAUGACUGAUGAAUUGAUGGCUCUUUUGAAGAAUAAUACAUGGUCCUUAGUCCCAUUACCACUUGGAAGAACACCUAUUGGCUACAAAUGGGUAUUUAAAGUGAAGGAAAACCCCAAUGGCUCAAUUCAGAAGUGCAAAGCCAGGUUAGUGGCAAAAGGGUUUCAUCAAGUUGCUGGUUUUGAUUUCAUAGAAACUUUCAGUCCAAUUGUUAAACCUGGAACAACUCGGGUUAUGCUUACUAUAGCUUUGUCUAGAGGUUGGUUAAUUCAUCAAUUAGACGUUAAUAAUGCCUUUUUGAAUGGAGUGUUGCAUGAGGAAGUUUUUAUAGAACAACCCCUUGGAUUUAUUCAGCACAACCAGUCUCAUCUUGUUUGUAAAUUGCAUAAAUCUUUAUAUGGCUUAAAACAAGCACCAAGGGCCUGGUUUGAAAAGUUAAGUACAACCCUAUAUGCCUUUGGAUUUAUCUCUGCCAAGUCAGAUCAGUCUUUGUUCAUUCGUGUGACAAAAAGUCAUUCUACCUAUAUUCUUGUAUAUGUAGAUGACAUUCUUAUCACUGGUAGUAGUGAACAAGUUGUGAUGCAUCUUAUUACCAGUUUGAAUAGAGAGUUUGCCUUAAAAGAUCUUGGAGAAGUCAACUAUUUUUUAGGGAUUGAAGUGAAUCAUACUUCUGAAGGUAUUCACCUUUCUCAAGGAAAAUACAUAACUGAUCUAUUAUGCAAAGCCAAAAUGCAAGGUGUCAAUCCUAUUUCUACUCCUAUGACCAGUGGACAGAAACUUUUAGGCUAUGGAAGUGAAUCAGUUCAAGAUGUCAAGUUGUACAGAUCAAUUGUAGGGGCUUUGCAAUAUGUAAUAGUUACUAGGCCUGAAACUGCCUAUAGUGUUAAUAUAGUAUGUCAAUAUAUGCAAGCUCCAUUAGAAUCUCAUUGGAAAGUAGUCAAAAGAAUUCUCAGAUACUUGAAAGGCACUCUUCAUCAUGGAUUACAUUUAAGAAAGUCUCCUACUCUUGAUCUUGUAGCAUUUUGUGAUGCUGAUUAGGCCUCUAAUCCUGAUGAUCAAAGAUCAACUUCAUGAUGUUGUGUAUAUUUUGGUUCAAAUUUAGUCACUUGGCAAUCAAAGAAACAACAUACUGUAUCUAGAUCAAGUACAGAAGCAGAGUACAGAAGCCUAGCUAGUUUGGUUGCAGAAAUCACUUGGCUACAAUCUCUUCUCUCAGAAAUUAAAGUCACUUUGCCUACACCACCAAUUAUUUGGUGUGAUAAUCUCAGCACUAUUAUGUUAGAUGCUAAUCUAAUAUUGCAUGCCAAGACAAAACACAUUGAAUUAGAUUUGUAUUUUGUCAGGGAAAAGGUUCUACAAAGAAACGUUUCAGUCCAACAUGUGCCUUCCAUUGAUCAAGUAGCAGAUGUCUUGACUAAAGCUGUCUCAAGCACUUAGUUUGUAAAUCUAAGAAACAAACUCAAAGUAGAAAAUCUUUAUACCUUAAGUUUGAGGGAGAAUGUUAAGAGAUAGUUUUAUAUGGUUACAAGAUGUACAUGUGUCAUAUACUCAUUGGUUUUCUUCUAUUAUUGUUAGGUGAAUUGUUAGAGAAUUUGUUGGUUAUGUCUACUAUAUAUAUUACUCUGUAAACAACAGAAUAGUGAGAGAAAAAUAAAAAACAGAAAAUUACUUUACCAUUCUCAGUUCUGUUACCUUCUUUUCUCGUCUCUGUUACUUUCUUUACAGGGUUUGAUGUUGUUGACUUUGUAUUGGAUGGAGUUGCUUGAGUCCAUAGUUGGAUAAAUCUCGAUUAGUUAAGACCUGUAGUGUUUUGGUUUAUGCUGGUUCCUUGAUGGUGAUGAAUAAGGUGGAUCUGUUUUUAUGCCCGUGAAUUUGAAGUUAAAUCUUUUGAUGUUGAAAGAAGUAAAACUGAAAGAAGAAUGCAAAUGGUAGGAGAAACCUUGUGAAACACCAUCUUUUGAUGUUGUGGAGAAACUGUUGUUUCUUCGUCGACCUCCAAGCGGAUUGAGGGAGAGGAGAAAAACGAGUGUGCUUUGACUGGAAACUAAUACCUUAGAAGAACACCAGUCGAUGGAGAACCAACUAGGAUUCCCCCAACAAACAUCCUUGCACCUUCCCAAGUAAAAAAAAAACCACUAGAGAGCAAGAAAG
rnacentral:lncRNA from 1 species